UAACACUUAGAAAUAGGUGCUAAUACCGCAUAAGCGCAUAGCUUCGCAUGAAGCAGUGUGGAAAACAAAAAGCUAAAGCUUUUGGUGGUAUACGAUGGAUCCGCGUCUGAUUAGCUUGUUGGCGGGGUAAAGGCCCACCAAGGCAACGAUCAGUAGCCGGCCUGAGAGGGUGAACGGCCACAUUGGGACUGAGACACGGCCCAAACUCCUACGGGAGGCAGCAGUGGGGAAUAUUGCACAAUGGGGGAAACCCUGAUGCAGCGACGCCGCGUGAGUGAAGAAGUAUUUCGGUAUGUAAAGCUCUAUCAGCAGGGAAGAAAUAAAGUCCUUCGGACUUUGGACGGUACCUGACUAAGAAGCCCCGGCUAACUACGUGCCAGCAGCCGCGGUAAUACGUAGGGGGCAAGCGUUAUCCGGAUUUACUGGGUGUAAAGGGAGCGUAGACGGCAGCGCAAGUCUGGAGUGAAAUCCCAUGGCUUAACCAUGGAACUGCUUUGGAAACUGUGCAGCUGGAGUGCAGGAGAGGUAAGCGGAAUUCNCAGUGUAGCGGUGAAAUGCGUAGAUAUUAGGAGGAACACCAGUGGCGAAGGCGGCUUACUGGACUGUAACUGACGUUGAGGCUCGAAAGCGUGGGGAGCAAACAGGAUUAGAUACCCUGGUAGUCCACGCUGUAAACGAUGAUUACUAGG
rnacentral:rRNA from 1 species